rnacentral:rRNA from 1 species
GGUUGAUCCUGCCAGUAGUCAUAUGCUUGUUUUAAAGAUUAAGCCAUGCAUGUGUAAGUAUAGAGCAUUCUAGCUUGAAACUGCGAACGGCUCAUUAAAUCAGUUAUAAUCUACUUGAUUGUAUUUUUACUAUUAGGAUACCCUUAGUAAUUCUAUGGCUAAUACUUGCAAAAACUCAUGACUAGAAAUGGAAAUGAGGUAUUUAUUAGGUCCAAAAUCAAUGGCUUAUUUUUCGGAAUAAGUCUUAUAAAAUGAUGAUUCAUAAUAACUAGACGAAGCGCAAAAUGAGCAA